ACUCCUACGGGAGGCAGCAGUGGGGAAUAUUGCACAAUGGGGAAAGCCCUCGAUGCAGCCAUGCCGCGUGUGUGAAGAAGGCCUUCGGGUUGUAAAGCACUUUCAGUAGGGAGGAAGGUAGUGUAGUUAACACCUGCACUAUUUGACGUUACCUACAGAAGAAGCACCGGCUAACUCCGUGCCAGAGCCCGCGGUAAUACGGAGGGUGCGAGCGUUAAUCGGAAUUACUGGGCGUAAAGCGCAUGCAGGCGGCCUGUUAAGUCAGAUGUGAAAG
rnacentral:rRNA from 1 species